UGACACCACUAAGAGGUGACACCAAGAGGUGACAACUGGGAUGGGACACCAAGAGGUGACACCAAGAGAUGACGUCUCCUAUAUAUGACACCAAGAGGUGACACCACCAAGAGGUGACACCGAGAGGUGAUGCCCCCUAUAUAUGGCACCAAGAGAUGACAACCCAUAGAGGUGACACUAAGAGGUGACAACUGGGAUGGGACACCAAGAGGUGACACCAUGGGGUGACACCAAGAGAUGAUGCCCUCUAUAUAUGACACCAAGAGGUGACACCAAGAGAUGACGUCUCCUAUAUAUGACACCAAGAGGUGACACCAAGAGGUGA